rnacentral:rRNA from 1 species
UACAGAGGGUGCGAGCGUUGUCCGGAAUCACUGGGCGUAAAGGGCGCGUAGGUGGUGGCUUAAGCGUGCGGUGAAAGCUCGGGGCUCAACUCCGAGUCGGCCGUGCGAACUGGGCUCACUGGAGCAUAGUAGAGGCAGGUGGAAUUCCCGGUGUAGCGGUGAAAUGCGUAGAGAUCGGGAGGAACAUCAGUGGCGAAGGCGGCCAUCUGGGACAACACUGACGCUGAAGCACGAAAGCGUGGGGAGCAAACAGG